rnacentral:lncRNA from 1 species
GAGUUUCGUUCCAUUUUCCAGCACAUACAGUCAGCUCAGUCUCAGCGUAGACCCUCAGAACUGUUAGCCCAACAUAUAGUGACCAUUGUUCACCAUGUUAAAGAGCAUCACUUUGGGUCCUCAGGAAUGACAUUACAUAAACACUUUACUAAAUACCUAAAUAGAGGAACUGAGCAAGAGGCAGCCAAAAACAAGUUACAGGACAAUAGACAUUUCCCGCAGUACUUUCAUAAAACAUGGUUUGGCUCGUGAUGAAAUGAAAAGUCCCAGAAAACCUGGCUACAAGGCUGAGGGAAAAUACAGAGAUGAUCCUGUUGAUCUCCGCCUUGAUAUUGAACGUCAUAAAAAACAUAAGGAGAGAGAUCUUCAGCGAGGUAAAUCUAGAGAAUCAGUGAAUUCCCGAGACUCCAGCCACUCGAGGGAAAGGUCAGCUGAGAAAACAGAAAACUUAUAAAGGAUCAAAGAAGCAGAAGAAGCACCGGAGAGCGAGAGGCACGUCCAGAUCCUCCUCCUCUUCCUCCCGGUCAUCUCACUCCUACAAAGCAGAAGAGUACACUGAAGAGACAGAGAAAAGAGAGGAGAGCUCCACGGGCUUUGAGACAUCGAGACUGGGGACUAAAGUCUUUGUGGGUCCAAGUGAAAGAGGAGGUGGCAGAGCGCUCGAGGAAACUUUCAAUUUCAAGCCAGAGGAAGAGGCCAGGACAGAGGCAACUACUCUGGGAACAAUAACAAGAGUAACAAUGAUUUUCAAAAAAGAAACCGGUAAGAGGAGUGGGACCUAGAUUACACACCCAAAAGCAAGAAGUAUUACUUGCAUGAUGACCUCCGGGUCAGGGCCGGUUCAUGUUCUGGAAAUCAAGCACCAGCCCCAAGUGGGCCCAUGACAAGUUCAGUGGGGAGGAAUGGGAGAUUGAAGACGACAAGAGUGGGACAGAGAACAGAGAAGAGAAGGACAAUUUACAGCCCACAACCGAGUAG